GAGUGCAGAAUGAAGUUUUGCCAUGAACGUAGAUCCUCCCUUACAAAUCCCUCCAUUUUCAAACCCGAGGUCAGAGCUUCUCUGGGCAGCCAGCCCCAGCCCUCAGGUGAACUCAGCACAGCCCUUCUGACUUACCCAGGAAGAUGGGAAAAGGCGAGAGUGAAGAAGCAAGAGAGAAUGAAAUGAAGAAGCCAAGUCUUCUCCUUCUUCCUUUCCCCUCCAGAGGAAAACCAUCUCAAGAGCCAGAAGUGGUAUAGGCCCCUAAGUCAAGCUUUUUCAAGCUCCACUUCUAAUGCUCCAUGCCUUAAAAAGUAUGACCCAAGACUGUCCCUGAACAUGGCUGAUCCACGGUAACAUCCUUCCUCCUGGGAUAGUCUCAGAGGUGCGUGAGGGGAGCACCAUGAACUUUCUCAACCUACAGGCCAACAUAUUUUAUUUUAUAUUCUUAUGUCACUAUCUCAGAACUUAAUAGCCACUGUAUGGCAAAAUAAAUAAUUGGGUUUUUGUGA
ensembl:lncRNA novel transcript